AUGUGGGUCUUUUUCUAUGGUAAGAAAAUCUCCUCAUUGCACCGAAGGAAUAACGGAAGCAAAAUCCCCGAAAUCCCCUCCUAAAAUUCCAUUACCAUAAUAAGGUCACGUCAAUCUGUGACUCUGAGCUCUCUCUUCCUCUCCUUGAGGUCAUCUUAUAUGUUAGAAAAUUCUCUCUUCUUGUACUAAAAAGAGAGAGAAAUAAAUAAAUAAACAAUGAAACCCCUCCAUAGCUCUCUAUAUAUAAUGAGUCUUCUAUAGGUUUAGGGUCGUAUGGUGUGAUCUCUCCCCCUCUCUUUCUCUCUCUUUUUCUCUCUGAAUUUUCUUGGUGAUUAUCCAUGCAUUCAAGAAGGAUUUGAGGCUUGUGAUCUCUCCCCCUCUCCUUCUCUCUGCAUUUUCUUGGUGAUUACCAUGCAUUCAAGAAGGAUUUGAGGCUACUGCUGAAGAAGAAAAGGUUGCAACAACUUCAUUCUUUCUGCAUCAAAUGGACAUAUUCCAGAGUAAAUUGUGCAAUCCAUUGGCAAGGAGUGUCAAAGACAUCGAUCAAUUCCCUUGAUACCAUUAUCACAAAUUUACUUCUUGUUUCCCAUCUCGUUCGAGCCAAGCUGCAAAAGAGCCUAAAUUUUAGAGAGACACAGAACAACAUUGCUAUUCCCAAACUACCCUUAGACUGUAUUUUUGUCUGUAAAACUAAUUUACUAUUCAUGAUGAAUACAUUGCUCUUUUAUAGUAUGUUUAUUUUUGGUGUU